GAGUUUGAACCUGGCUCAGGAUGAACGCUGGCGGCGUGCUUAACACAUGCAAGUCGAACGGGGAUGCUGACGGAAGGGGUGCUUGCACUCUGGAAGUAAGGAUCUUAGUGGCGGACGGGUGAGUAACGCGUGGGUAACCUGCCCCAUACCGGGGGAUACCACCUGGAAACAGGUGCUAAUACCGCAUAAGCGCACGGGAGCGCAUGCUCCUGUGUGAAAAACUCCGGUGGUAUGGGAUGGACCCGCGUCUGAUUAGCCAGUUGGCAGGGUAACGGCCUACCAAAGCGACGAUCAGUAGCCGGCCUGAGAGGGUGGACGGCCACAUUGGGACUGAGACACGGCCCAAACUCCUACGGGAGGCAGCAGUGGGGAAUAUUGCACAAUGGGGGAAACCCUGAUGCAGCGACGCCGCGUGAGUGAAGAAGUAUUUCGGUAUGUAAAGCUCUAUCAGCAGGAACGAGACAAGACGGUACCUGACUAAGAAGCCCCGGCUAACUAGGUGCCAGCAGCCGCGGUAAUACGUAGGGGGCAAGCGUUAUCCGGAAUCACUGGGUGUAAAGGGAGCGUAGACGGCUGAGCAAGCCUGAAGUGAAAGGCGGGGGCCCAACCCCUGGACUGCUUUGGGAACUGUACGGCUGGAGUGCAGGAGAGGUAAGUGGAAUUCCUAGUGUAGCGGUGAAAUGCGUAGAUAUUAGGAGGAACACCAGUGGCGAAGGCGGCUUACUGGACUGUAACU
rnacentral:rRNA from 1 species